UUUGCAAGCUACCUACUGCCUGGAGCCAUCUCCUUUCAAAACUGCGAUCUCAUCUGAUUGCAAAAGCUAAGCAGGUGAGGCCUGGUCAGCCCUUGGCUGGGAUUCCUCAAGGGAAAAAGAGGUGCUAGAAGAA
rnacentral:rRNA from 1 species